rnacentral:rRNA from 1 species
AUUGAACGCUGGCGGAAUGCUUUACACAUGCAAGUCGAACGGCAGCACGGACUUCGGUCUGGUGGCGAGUGGCGAACGGGUGAGUAAUGUAUCGGAACGUGCCCAGUCGUGGGGGAUAACGUAGUGAAAAUUACGCUAAUACCGCAUACGAUCUAUGGAUGAAAGCGGGGGAUCGCAAGACCUCGCGCGAUUGGAGCGGCCGAUAUCAGAUUAGGUAGCUGGUGGGGUAAAGGCCCACCAAGCCAACGAUCUGUAGCUGGUCUGCGAGGACGAGCAGCCGCACUGGAACUGAGACACGGUCCAGACUCCUACGGGAGGAAGCAGUGGGGAAUUUUGGACAAUGGGCGAAAGACUGAUCCGGCCAUUCAGCGGGCAGGAUGAAGUCCGUCGGGUUGUAAACUGCUUUUGUACAGAACGAAAAGGUUUCUACUAAUACUAGGAGCUCAUGACGGUACUGUAAGAAUAAGCACCGGCUAACUACGUGCCAGCCGCCGCCGUAG